rnacentral:rRNA from 1 species
GGGGCAGCGGGGGAUAAUGCAGUCGAAGGAGACACUUAGCUUGCUUUGUAGUUUGAGUGGCGAACGGGUGAGUAACACGUGAGCAACCUGCCCAGAAGCGGGGGAUAGCUCGGGGAAACUCGAAUUAAUACCGCAUGUGAUCGUAUGUAGCAUUGCAUAACGAUUAAAGGUGCCUUCGGGUGCCACUUCUGGAUGGGCUCGCGGCCUAUCAGCUAGAUGGUGAGGUAACGGCUCACCAUGGCGACGACGGGUAGCUGGUCUGAGAGGACGAUCAGUCACACUGGAACUGAGACACGGUCCAGACACCUACGGGUGGCAGCAGUCGAGAAUCAUUCGCAAUGGGGGAAACCCUGACGGUGCGACGCCGCGUGGAGGAUGACGGCCCUCGGGUUGUAAACUCCUGUCAUCGAAGAGUAAGGCUUGUUAGUGAACAGCUAGCAAGAUUGAUAGUAUUCGAAGAGGAAGGGACGGCUAACUUCGUGCCAGCAGCCGCGGUAAUACGAAGGUCCCAAGCGUUGUUCGGAAUCACUGGGCGUAAAGGGAGCGUAGGCGGCGAGGUAAGUCAGAUGUGAAAUUCCGGGGCUCAACCUCGGGACGGCAUCCGAUACUGCCUUGCUAGAGUGGUGGAGGGGCAUCUGGAAUUCACGGUGUAGCAGUGAAAUGCGUAGAUAUCGUGAGGAACACUAGUGGCGAAGGCGAGAUGCUGGACACCAACUGACGCUGAGGCUCGAAGGCCAGGGUAGCGAAAGGGAUUAGAUACCCCUGUAGUCCUGGCAGUAAACGGUGCACGUUUGGUGUGAGCAGGUUCGACCCUGUUCGUGCCGGAGUUAACGCGUUAAACGUGCCGC